rnacentral:rRNA from 1 species
UACGUAGGGGGCAAGCGUUAUCCGGAUUUACUGGGUGUAAAGGGAGCGUAGACGGCAGUGCAAGUCUGAAGUGAAAGGCAAGGGCUCAACCCUUGGACUGCUUUGGAAACUGUGCUGCUGGAGUGUCGGAGAGGCAAGUGGAAUUCCUAGUGUAGCGGUGAAAUGCAUAGAUAUCACGCAGAACCCCGAUUGCGAAGGCAGCCUUCCGGCGCCCUACUGACGCUGAGGCACGAAAGUGCGGGGAUCGAACAGG